GACGAACGCUGGCGGCGUGCCUAAUACAUGCAAGUAGAACGCACAGUUUAUACCGUUGCUUGCUACACCAUAGACUGUGAGUUGCGAACGGGUUAGUAACCCGUCGCUAACCUGCCUGGUAGCUUGGGGUAACUAUUGCAAACGAUAGCUAAUACCGCCUACUAUUUAUUAUUGCAUGAUAAUUUAUUGAAAGUUGCAAUUGCCCCACUACCUGUUGGACCUUCGUUGUAUUAGCUAGUAGGUGAGGUAACGGCUCACCUAGGCGACGAUACAUAGCCGAACUGAGAGGGUGAGCGGCCAGACUGGGAGUGAGACAGGGCACAGACUCACACGGGAGGGAGCAGUAGGGAAUCGUCGGGAAUGGACGAAAGUCUGAGCGAGCAAGGCGGCGGGAGGGAAGAAGGUUUUCGGAUGGUAAAGGUCUGUUGUAAGAGAAGAACGGGUGUGAGAGUGGAAAGUACACAGUGUGACGGUAUCUGACAAGAAAGGGACGGCUAACUACGUG
rnacentral:rRNA from 1 species